rnacentral:rRNA from 1 species
GGGCCCGCACAAGCGGUGGAGCAUGUGGUUUAAUUCGAUGAUACGCGAGGAACCUUACCAGGGCUUAAAUGUAGUAUGACCGGUCUAGAAAUAGACCUUCUCUUCGGAGCAGAUUACAAGGUGCUGCAUGGUUGUCGUCAGCUCGUGCCGUGAGGUGUUAGGUUAAGUCCUGCAACGAGCGCAACCCCUAUUCUUAGUUGCCAGCGGUUCGGCCGGGGACUCUAAGAAGACUGCCAGCGCAAGCUGAGAGGAAGUGGGAUGACGUCAAUCAUCACGGCCCUUACGUCCUGGGGCUACACACGUGCUACAAUGGUACAGACAGAGGGCAGCCACCCUGGCGACAGGGAGCGAAUCUAUAAAACUAUCUC